UGUUUGGCUAUGGUGAGUGUUGGAUGUGCGACGAUGGUCGUCCGGUCGGUGUCUGUCGUUUGGCGGGAAUUCCGACGAGUUAGUUUGAUUGUUUACAUAUAAACAGACUGUUGUGGGCGUGGCUCUACGAAGAGGAAUUUACGCUACGAUUUUACGGGAUUUUGACCUUCGUGGAAAAGUUUCUUCGGAACAUCGGCCAUUGGGAAAGUUUUAAGUUGAUCUUUCCAUUGGACGAUUUAUUUUUUGCGAAUGAUGUAAUGUGAGGAUUAUAGUGGCCUGGGAAGCUUCCCAUGAAGUGAUCGACGAGGGCUAAUGGAGAUGCCAAGAAAUAUAUUCCAGGGACAAGGGCGUGAAAAUAUAUGUUAUUGAAAAAUAAUCCAGACCCAGUGAUGCCCUGCAAACGUAUGCCCUUUCAGAAAGCUCCAGAUCCAGGGGCCACCAAACCUCGUGUUGUUGUCAUUUAUGACCCUGAAGAAUCCUCCGGGAAGUGAAAGAUCUCCGGCCUGGAAGUAUCUCUUAAUAUCUUUUGCGCCGUUAAAGCCUUUUGUUUUAUCACCUGUGAUGGAUUUACAGCGUCGUUAACGUAAUGCAUCGGCGUAUGUGUGAAGCUCCACUAAAUUGGCAACAUAGGUCCGGUAAAGGAGAUCUCGAGACGUGUUUGAAAUACUUGAGAAAACAGUUUGAAUUUGAUAAAGGAGCUGAUGUCAAAUGAGAACCGCUUUAUGUACAGUUGGCUGUAAUACGAUUUAGAAACGAUAAGUGGCUUCUAAAUAAUUAUUAUUCUAACUAUAAACCAGAAAAUCAUGAUAUAAAAAGUUACCUUUUUAAACUUGUAUAGAUACAAUGAGGUAGAUCUUCUAGAUUAAAAAAAAAAAAAAAAAACUAUGAAAAACGCAACAUGCCUUAACUGUGAAGCAGUUAAAAAUAGAUGCAAAUACGACUAUGGGGGUUUGGACUGUAAUGCCUCUCAGUGAUGACUGCUUAUUUAAAGAAACACUACUCGAAGAAUUACGAGGAACGUAAACACGAACUGAAGAUGGGAAGCUCCACUCACGAUUCAAGAAGUAAGAAAAGGUCUAACACGCCAAGAUAGAAGAAGAGAUUCCCGUUGCCGGCUUGUACGUGGGGUCUGACCUGAGUGAGGCGGCCUCACGGUGCCCGUUCCUCUAUCGUAAGACUUCGUGAGAAGGGAGGAAACUUCCCGAGCUCUCGUCGACGCCAUGAGUUACGAGGAGGUCAAGUGCCGAUGCUUUUGGGAAAGCCUUCCAUUUUGCACCCGGGGUCUGGGAGUCGCCACUGCUGUUGG